GAUGAACGCUGGCGGCGUGCCUAAUACAUGCAAGUCGAGCGAACGGACGAGAAGCUUGCUUUUCUGAUGUUAGCGGCGGACGGGUGAGUACCACGUGGAUAACCUACCUAUAAGACUGGGAUAACUUCGGGAAACCGGAGCUAAUACCGGAUAAUAUUUUGAACCGCAUGGUUCAAAAGUGAAAGACGGUCUUGCUGUCACUUAUAGAUGGAUCCGCGCUGCAUUAGCUAGUUGGUAAGGUAACGGCUUACCAAGGCAACGAUGCAUAGCCGACCUGAGAGGGUGAUCAGUCACACUGGAACUGAGACACGGUCCAGACUCCUACGGGAGGCAGCAGUAGGGAAUCUUGCGCAAUGGGCGAAAGCCUGACGGAGCCACGCCGCGUGAGUGAUGAAGGUCUUCGGAUUGUAAAACUCUGUUAUUAGGGAAGAACAUAAGUGUAAGUAACUCUGCACAUCUUGACGGUACCUAAUCAGAAAGCCACGGCUAACUACGUG
rnacentral:rRNA from 1 species